rnacentral:rRNA from 1 species
GGGGAGAAUGGAAUUCCUGGUGGAGCGGUGGGAUGCGCAGAUAUCAGGAGGAACACCAGUGGCGAAGGCGGUUCUCUGGACCUUUCCUGACGCUGAGGAGCGAAAGCGUGGGGAGCGAACAGGCUUAGAUACCCUGGUAGUCCACGCUGUAAACGGUGGGUACUAGGUGUGGGGUCCAUUCCACGGAUUCCGUGCCGUAGGCUAACGCUUUAAGUACCCCGCCUGGGGAGUACGGCCGCAAGGCUAAAACUCAAAGGAAUUGACGGGGCCCCGCACAAGCGGCGGAGCAUGCGGAUUAAUUCGAUGCAACGCGAAGAACCUUACCUGGGUUUGACAUGGAUCAGGAGUGCUCAGAGAUGGGUAUGCCUCUUUUGGGGUUGGUUCACAGGUGGUGCAUGGCUGUCGUCAGCUCGUGUCGUGAGAUGUUGGGUUAAGUCCCGCAACGAGCGCAACCCUCGUUCACUGUUGCCAGCACGUUAUGGUGGGGACUCAGUGGAGACCGCCGGGGUCAACUCGGAGGAAGGUGGGGAUGACGUCAAGUCAUCAUGCCCCUUAUGUCCAGGGCUUCACGCAUGCUACAAUGGCCGGUACAAAGAGUUGCGAGCCUGUGAGGGUGAGCGAAUCUCGGAAAGCCGGUCUCAGUUCGGAUUGGGGUCUGCAACUCGACCUCAUGAAGUCGGAGUCGCUAGUAAUCGC